AAGGCCUUCCUGCGAAGAGGUCCUCCUCUGCUGGGUCUGCUGUGGCUGUGGUAAGGAGGUGACCCAAAGCACCAUCAAGACAGAAGGAGAUCAAGGCAAACAUGCUGCUUUCCCCGAGUUUACUUUGAACAGAGAGAAGGGGUGGUAAUGCUAGCACCAACUACUUGUGCCUCAACAGGAAGCAACCAGAAGCCGGUCAGCCAAGAUCAUGAAAGAAAGAGUGCUGUAUGGAGACAGCUUUCUCUGAAGACACCUGGGAAAGGCAAGAGCCUGGGAUAUGGACCACCUGGAUUCCACAUCCAGCUAUCCUGGGCUGACCUUGCUGAAAUCAACACUUCUCCUAAUUUAUUCUGCUAAGACACAAGAAAGUCAGAUUUAUGUCAUCUUUGAGAGCCUCUAACAUUCUGUGGAUGCAUAUAGCUACAACUUUGACAAUAGGUAGCUUUAUCCUUUGGAUUCCUAGGCAGGAUCCUUAAGCCAGGUUAAGUCUAACUCAAUAAACUAGAAAUGAUGUCAUCA